UACACUGAAUCCUUCAUGACGAAGGAACGGGGGACCCAAGCGGGCGCAAAUAGCGCCUAUGGGGCGAAUCCUUUGCGGUGGCCUAUCCUGCCGCGAGGGUAGGGUGACUCUCGCGCCCGAGCCCGUCAGCUAACCUCGUAAGUGGGUUCGAGAGA
rnacentral:sRNA from 1 species